UUUAAAUUAUAUUUUGUAAUUUAUAAAAGAUUCUUAUUUACGAUAAAUUUUAUUCGAAAAACUAAAUUUAUUUUAUUAGCACUUUAUAAAAAGAAUUAUUUUGGAAAUUAAUCUUGCUCAAAGUCACUUCUUUCCAUUUUCUUUUCCAAUUCCAAAAACAUAGCAAUAAAAUUCUGAAAAUUUAUCCCACAUAGUAGAUUCACCCAAAUACCCUUUUGACCCAUUGAAACCAAGUCAACCCUUUCUUUUCUCCUCUUCUCUGUCGUGUAACUUGGGCAAAUGGCAGCCAUGGUGUUUGCCAUAUAUUCUAUCUAAGAUCUCUAGCCUUGCUGAUUCACUCCCCUGAAUUACUAGCUUUCAUUAGUCAUCACCUCCUUUUUCCUAUUCCCUUACAUUUGUCAUCUAGAUUUCUUGCAAAUUAAAUCAUCAAUUACGUAAAUUGUUCAAUCCCAUUUCUAUGAAUAGCUCCUUUGAUUCAGAAUCUGCAAAAUCAAAUUCCAAAUUUUCACCAUUGAUAAACAUGGUGUUCUUCACCACCACCUUCGUUCCAGUUUCAGAACACCACCCCCACCGUCCCUGUUUUUUUUCCCUCCUUCGCCUCUCCCCUGCCUCCCUCGUCUCUUCCCCUUUGCUCCACCACUGUCACGCCACCACCACAUCGAAACCACCUCACCGCCUCUGGAGUAAAUCUCGCCUCCACCUCCGCCGUGAACCGCCUCCUUUCUCUUCGACUCCCCUGUCCUCCCUCCCCUGUUCGCGGCUUUGCGCACCCCUCCCCUUUCCUCCUUGUGUCGUCGCUGCACAACCACCAUCACCGGCGCCUCCAGGCGCGGUUCUCUGUGCUGCGCCGCCCAGCCCAGCCACCUCCGUCCUCCGUCCUCUCCUUCCUCUUUCUCGUGCCCUCCCCUGUUUCGGCCCCCUUUCCCUUCCCCUGCUCUUAUUCUUCUUUUUUUCCAGAAAACCAGUUUCAAUUUGAAACUUAAAUGAUCCUCCUCAAACCCAUAUUGUGUUGGGCCAUUUCAAUUCGGGACUUUGGAAUUGGACUCGGAGCUCGGGACGAACGAACCAAAGAAAGCAAAACCCAUAGCAAAUCGCGGAAGUGAGGUACUGCGGGGAACGAUGGAAACGAUUAGUGGCGAGGAAUUUCACUUUAAUAAUUUCCACCUAGUUUUUGUUUUAAGUUUUAAUAGUUUAUUUAAAGAUUUUUAGUAAGUUAUGUACUUUUACUUUGGGAAUAUAGAGGAUUAUUAUAUUAAAUUUGGAGUUUUAAUAGUUUAAGAUUAAUGAUUGCCUUGUAAUUCCCAAGAGGGAGUUACGGCAGGUAAUGUCCCGACCGAAUUAGGUUGAUUCCGCUGCUAAGUAUGCUUUAAUACUUGAAUUAGAGGUCGGGGCGUUACAGUUAUUUACUUUUGAAUUGAACAAAAGGAAAAUUAUGUUACCUAUUUUAGAGCAAAGAGACAAUCUUUAUCUUUAGUCCUUGUUGGUUUGUUUUAUAGAGGUGACUGGAAAUCUGACCUAUUAUGCCUGUUCUCAAGUAUUUUGGAUGCCCAUGAUCUUAUGCAAAAUUGGCGCAGAUUUCCAGA